rnacentral:rRNA from 1 species
GACGAACGCUGGCGGCGUGCUUAACACAUGCAAGUCGAACGAAGUGGCGAACGGGUGAGUAACGCGUAAACAACCUGCCCUUCAGAGGGGGACAACAGUUGGAAACGACUGCUAAUACCGCAUACUGAAGGAGGGGAUUGCGUCUGAUUGGCUAGGUGGAGGGGUAACGGCCUACCAAGGCGAAGAUCAGUAGCCGGUCUGAGGAGCGGGACGGCCACAUUGGGACUGAGACCCGGCCCAGACUCCUACGGGGAGCAGCAGUGGGGGAUCUUCCGCAAUGGACGGAAGUCUGACGGAGCAACGCCGCGUGAGUGAUGGCGGGCUUCGGGUUGUAAAGCUCUGUUAAUCAGGACGCGGUACCGGAAUAGAAAGCCACGGCUAACUACGUGCCAGCAGCCGCGGUAAUUC